GUGCCUACUUCAGCAGCACAUAUGCUAACAUUGGAACGAUACAGAGAAGAUUAGCAUCACCCCUGCACAAGGAGAGAAAGGACAUGUUGAGGGAAAGAAUCACUUAUU
ensembl:snRNA U6 U6 spliceosomal RNA